GUUUUUCAUUUUCUAUACACCGUAAAAUCUAAAUAUUACUGAUACUGGUCUUCUGUGUUUCUUUCUAUUCUUCAUCUGCAUGCCACUGAUGAGCCUUUACCAUGGUAAAUGUGGGUCAGGUUACAAAAUUAAAAAGGUAUCCAUGGAUUGAGAAUCGACCGGUCAAGGUUCAUAGUAGCAGCAGAGAACAUUGAAGAGCAGAUCCGAUUAAAAUCACAGACAGUCUUUUACAUUGGCUCUGGCAGAGCAAUCAGCCAGCGGAAAUGGAGUGUUGUCGUGUGUUUAUUAAAACCUCGGACGACUUAAAGCGACUCUGUCAGCUGUAAUGCUCAGAACACAGAGACCACAAGCCCAAUCACCUGACAGGCCUGGAGAACCUGCAGACAGCAUCCAGACAGCUGUAGCUGGAGACCAGCAGCACUCAGAUCAGAUCUGGACUGAUGUUCAGCCAGUUCAUCUCAGAGCAUACUGAAUUCGAUAUGGAACACAUUCUCUAGACUGGGCUUCGCAUCACUGCAAUGGUAUGGAGCGAUAAGAAGACCGGACAGAUUCAAAGCCCACUCCUGCACAUACUCAACUGGAGAUGGCAGAGAUGCAAAUGAAGCUAAUGUCCCCUAAGGCCUUGUCCAAUAAUCUACAGCCAUGAAGAGAUAAUUUCUCUGAGUGCCACACUCUGACAACUCCUUAUUCUGCUGUGCCUUUGAUCUUUCUGGAGUCUAUUACAGCAAAUAAACAGAGACAGGCUCCUUACAUGGGAAUAAAUUUGAGGAGAGAAUUUAUAAAACCAAAAGCAUUUAAUUAUUCAGGAGUCACGUUAGGGCUUUAAUUCAAAAAGAAAGAAAAAUGCUAUUUGUUUUUCAGUUCAUUCCAUUU